rnacentral:rRNA from 1 species
UGAGGAAUAUUGGUCAAUGGGUGCAAGCCUGAACCAGCCAUCCCGCGUGAAGGACGACUGCCCUAUGGGUUGUAAACUUCUUUUGUAUGGGGAUAAACCUACCCUCGUGAGGGUAGCUGAAGGUACUAUACGAAUAAGCACCGGCUAACUCCGUGCCAGCAGCCGCGGUAAUACGGAGGGUGCAAGCGUUAUCCGGAUUUAUUGGGAUUAAAGGGUCCGUAGGCGGACUUAUAAGUCAGUGGUGAAAGCCUGUCGCUUAACGGUAGAACUGCCAUUGAUACUGUAAGUCUUGAGUAUAUUUGAGGUAGCUGGAAUAAGUAGUGUAGCGGUGAAAUGCAUAGAUAUUACUUAGAACACCAAUUGCGAAGGCAGGUUACCAAGAUAUAACUGACGCUGAGGGACGAAAGCGUGGGGAGCGAACA